rnacentral:rRNA from 1 species
AUGGCCGACGCUGCCCUCGGCGUGGUGCAAUGGGUGGUGAGCAAGGCGCUAGCCACCGUCACGGAUAUCUUCCAGGAGGCUUGGGAGGGCACCAGGAUGUUUGGUCCCAACGUUGAGGCCCUCAGGAUGGAACUGCUGCUCGUCAAGGCCACGCUCGAAAAUGCUGCCUGCAAGGAGAUCAGCGGUCCAGCCAUGGAGGAGCUGUUGCAGAUGAUGCGGGACUCGGCGCACAAUGCUCAAGACUUGCUGGACGAGCUGGACUACUUCCGCAUCCAGGACAAGCUCCGCGGCACAUAUGAGGCUGCCGACGAGCACGGCGAGGGUGGUGUCCAGCACCUUGCCCGUGAUGUUCGCCACACUCGCAAAUCUAUUAGCAAACGGCUGGCAUCUUUCACCGGGUCCUGCUUUGGUGCCAAUGCUCGCCAUCCCCAACAAGAAGAUGCAAGACAACAUGUCAGCUGUUGCGCUUGGCAGCAUGCUAGGCACAUAACACGCGGCGAUUCCUCCUCUGCGCCAAACGCCAAUCAGGCUGAUCAGGAGGUCUCCCCGCAUCCACAUGUUCAUGGUAAUGAAGAUCGUGACAAUGCACCAGAAACACCAAUACCAGAGUUUAAUAGGCCUGAUUUCUCUCAAAGGAUGACUACCAUUGUAGAGAAACUGCAGCCUGUGCGUAAUGAGGUUGACAAGAUUUUGCAACGUUAUGACCGUAGAAGUGUUCUUCACAUUGCCCAGAGCCGUCCCACCACCACACCUCUGAGUGCAGAGCCAAAAAUGUAUGGGAGGGACCAUGUCAUGAAGAGUAUCAUAGAUGAUAUCACGGAGGGGCAAUACAGUGACAAGGCUCUAACUGUGCUUCCAGUUAUUGGUCCGGGGGGAAUUGGGAAGACAACUCUGAUACAACACAUAUAUAACAACCAGCAAGUGCGGAAUCAUUUUCCGGUCAGGAUUUGGAUAUGUGUGUCGUUUAAUUUCAACCUGGGUAAGGUGCUAGAACAGAUUAAAGAAUAUACCCUUGCGGCUGAAGGUGAAAAUGGGUGUAUGAGACCAGAAGAGCUGAUUGAACACAGAUUGAAAUCCAAGAGGUUCAUACUUGUAUUGGAUGAUAUAUGGCAGUUUACUAAUGUGGAUGACUGGGAAAAACUAUUAUUGAUACUCGGCAAGUCACAAGAAAAGGGCUCCAUGGUUCUAGUCACAACUCGGCAGAAAGAGAUAGCAGAUCAAGUUAAGAAAAUUGUAGAGCCAAAAGAACUGAGUGGUUUAGAACCUGAAGAGUUUAGGAAGUUAUUCCUUGUUUAUGUCUUUGAUGCAGAGCAAUAUCCCAGUGAAAAACUUCAUUUGCGUGAGACUGGAGAUAAGAUAACAGAAAAACUAAGGUGCUCCCCUCUUGCAGCAAAGACCGUUGGUAGAUUACUGAGGACAGACCCUUGUUUGGCUCAUUGGAAAAGGGUCCUAGAAAGUAAAGAAUGGGUGAAGCAGACCAAUGGCAAUUGGAUUAUGCCUGCUUUGGAGCUUAGCUAUGACUUUCUCCCUUUCCACCUGCAACAAUGUUUUUCCUAUUCUGCAUUGUUUCCUGAAGAUUACCCUUUCAGAAGCCGUGAGCUCAUCAGCCUGUGGAUUGGACUAGAUAUUUUGAUACUUGAUGGUCAAAAUCAAACACUUGAAGACAUAGGUUUCAGAAAUUUACAGGAGUUAGUCAUCCAUGGAUUUUUCAGAGAAGAGCAAAUUGAUGGUGAUCGGUGUUAUGUUAUGCAUGACCUGCUGCAUGAUUUGGCAUUGAAGGUUGCAUCUCAUGAUUGCCUUAGUUUACGUUUCCCUGAUGUUGGAUCAGUAAAAAUUCAGCCUACAACCCGACACUUGUCUAUUAGCACAGAGGACUUGGAUAAAUAUGAUGCAGUGUCUGGUGAAAAAUUAAAGACUAAAUUGGAAAAACUGAAGACAACAGUGAAGGUUGAACAUUUGCAAACACUGAUGUUAUUUGGGGAAAUGGAUGAAGGUUUUGCCAAGAUACUUGGUGAUUUUUUUGGGGAAGCAAAUGCUCUUCGUGUUCUUUAUUUUCCCCACCUGAUGUGCCCCAUGGAGUCUGUGUUACAUACCUUUUCAAGACUUGUCCACCUACGAUGCCUAUGUCUAGGAACACGGAUGAGACAGAUGCAGUUACCACCUAACAUCUCUAAAUUUUAUCAUUUAAGGGUUCUAGAUCUUGAGAGGUGGGGUGGCAGUGGUGAUUUCCCCGAAGACAUGUGCAACCUUGCAAAAUUGUGCCACUAUUAUCCCCCAAGGGAUGAUGGGCUUCAGUUUGAUAUUUAUAAUGUGGGAAAACUUAAACUCUUAGAAAAGUUAAUGGUAUUUCGUGUCAAUAAAAAGAAUGAAGGAUUUGAACCAAAGCAGCUUGAGCAUUUGACCAAGCUAUGGGAGCUUGGCAUCUACAACCUUGAGAAAAUACAUACAAAAGAGGAGGCAGCUCAAGCAAAGCUGGUUGAGAAAAAGUGCUUGAGGAGGUUAAAAUUGGACUGGGAUAGUGAGCAAUCUAGCAUUGAGCCUGGUGUGGAAGCAGUGGUUCUUGAGAGCCUUAAACCACAUGGAAAUCUUCAAGUACUGUGCAUUAGAGGGCAUGGAGGCCCUUCUUGUCCAACAUGGCUGGGUGAUGUGUGGGAUCUUCGUGAACUAAGGUUGAAGGAUAUGGCAAGACUGAAGGAGCUUAUUAUAGGGAAAAGCUUUUUCAUGCUAAUAAAGCUUGAACUCAUUGGCCUAGCAAGUUUUGAAAAAUGGCUUUACACAAGUAAACCAGAGUCUUCCCUAGGUGGAGACGUGUUGCCAAGGGAUGCUCAUAUCUUUCCUGCUUUGCAAGUGCUGAUUAUCAAAAACUGCCCGAAAAUCGAGUUUCCGGUUUCAAACAACAUUCUUUACCUAGAUUGGUUUCCCAAACUACAAGAGCUUGAGAUACGGUACUGUCCAGAAUUCUCAUUCGUGAUUCCAAUAUCCCGGAUUGAAAGUCUGCGUCGUGUCACGAUCAAAGGUGUCAAGCUACUAGAAAAAUUUGAGUACACAAAAUCAUCUGAUGGAGCAGAAUUGGAAAUUAUUGGAAAGGGUGAUCUGCAUAGCUUAGACCAAGUGUUAGUUUUCGAUGAAAAAACAAGUCUUGAGAAACUGACACUCCAGGGGUGCCCACCUCUAGAGUUAAAGCACCUUAUGAUGUUAAGCUCGUUGAAGAAAUUGAUUGUAAAAUGUUCAGUUAGUCUGGUUGGACCACUAAGAGGUCAGAGUAAUGGGAAAUGCCAUCUCCCUGUUGAGUAUAUGAGGAUCGAGUGGUUAAAAGGUAUUAGUGGAAAGGAAUUGACGGAGCUCCUCCCCCACCUCCCAAUGCUCUCCAAACUGGAAAUAAUUCGUUAUCGAAGAAGGGAAAUGAUGUUUUCACGGCGGUAUCAGCAACCAAUGGAGAUGGAGGAAGAUGAAGUAACAGCGGCAGAAGGGGAAGAUGAUGAUGGGACACUGCUCUUCCCAGCUUAUCUCUCCGACUCGCUACAGGAUGCUCAUAUGUUCCCUCUUUUGCAAGUGCUAAUUAUUAGAGAUUGGCCGAAGCUCUUGAGGUUCCCUUUCUCAAACCACAUUGUUUCCCCAGAUUGGUUCCCCAAACUACAAGAGCUUGAGAUACAAGGCUAUCCAGAAUUCUCAUGGGUGAUUCCCAUCUCCUGGAUUAACAGUCUGCGUCGUGCCACGAUAAAAAAUGUAAAGUUACUACAGGAGUUUGUGUACUCAAAAUCAUCUGGUAGAGCAGAAUUGGAAAUCGUUGGACGGGGUGAUCUGCAUAGCUUAGACCAAUUGUUAGUUUUCGAUAAAGAAACAUGUCUUGAGAAGCUGACACUGCUGAGGUGCCCACCGCUGGAGUUGAAGCACCUUCUGAAGCUAAAAUCGCUGAAGACAUUGAUUGUACACCUUUCAGAUGGUCUGGUUGGACCACUAGUAGGUCAGGAUGAUGUGGAAUGGCAGCUUCCUAUUGAGCAUAUCGAGAUCUACAACAUAAAUGGUAUUAUUGGCAAGGAUUUGACCGAGCUACUCCCCCACCUCCCGGGGCUCUCCAAAUUGAAAAUAAGUGAUUGUGAAAACAUAAAAAAGCUGGUAGUGGGGGUGGGUGUGCAACAAACAGCAUCAGAAGCAUCAGAGAUGGGGCGAGGUGAAAUCGUGUCUGAUGCAUCGCAGGCUCCUGCGGAGAAGGGGUGGGUGGAGGACGGGGGCCGGCAUCGCCCGAGGCUGGAGAAGCCAUCUGCCCUGCCCCGCAAGAAGAAGGACGACCGCUCCCUCGCAUUCAAGCGGAGAGCUUACGGACUCUGCUUUCGUUGCUUGGCGGAGGACCAAUUUGUCGCCGAUUGCCGAGUCCUUGUCACCUGCCUGGGUUGCAGCCACUCUGGCCAUCGCGAGCGGGACUGUCCGGGACGCCUUCCUGCUAGUCAAGGUCGCCACCGCUGCUCCAUGUUGCCGCCAUCUGCUCCUGGCCUCCCCAACCACCAGCCCCCAGCUUCCUCACAACAAUUGCAGCAGCGCUCGUGGGCCGCCGUGGUUGCUUCUCUGACGUGGCUCGUUCAGGAGGCCCUUUGUAGCAACUUCGGUGUCUCUGGGUCAGGUCUGUCCGAUCCCGGCAAGACUACCUUUGCUGCUGAUCUGGGGUUGCAGCAAUCCCUUUUUGCAGCACAGACCGAGACGCUGCGAGCUGAACUGCAGGCCCUGGUUACCGCCCAUGUGGAGGAGGUCGUUCAACCUCUCCGCGACAUGGCGGUCGCUCUGCAGGGAUGGGCGGCCCAGGUCUCAGGCUUCUUGGAGCGGCUGGAGGUUAUUAGUGACAGAGUUGUUGCUUCGUCGGCCAUCAUCCCUUCCUUGGUGCCGAUGGGUCCACCUCCUCCCUGGUGUGACCAUGAGGAAUCGUUGCCUCCUGUUGUUGCUUGCGGUAAGGAUAUCAGUGAUACGGGCGUGGCCGGUUGCUCAUCCGAGGUACUGGCUACUGUGGCUCUACCUGUAGAUGUUCCUCCUCAUUUGGAUCUAGCUCUGCACAGGAUGGUUACUCAAGGUGAGAAGGCACAAGCUAAGGUUGCUGAGAAAGUCAGAGGGACCGAUGAUAUGGAGCGGAGUGAGGUGUCCUUACCUGUUGGCUUGGUUGGAGAGGUGCCGCCCUUGGUCUCCUCUCCAGGGAUGACUGCCUCAGAGGGCAAUACCUAUAUGAUGUCUUCCGGGUCCGAGGAGCUACUCGGUGACACUGGAGUGCCUUCAACUAGACUAUUGGAUGAGCUCCUAAGCAGUUUCAGUUGCACAGCACCACGGUCCUUGCUUGUAGAACCGAUUCAUUUGCAGAUUGAAGGGGCAUCUACUUGUUCCGGAAGGCGUAGUAACCGUUUGGAUAAAAAGAACAAAAACUGCAACAUUCCUACUGCCAAACACGCUGAAUAUAGGUUGGCGGAGGCUUAUGUGGAACUACCGAAGGGAAUGACAUCUAAGAAAGCCACCGAGGAGGAGGUGCAAGAGAAGAGAAGAUGUAUAAGAAAUCGCUUACGCCAACGGCGGUCCAGGCAAUCCGUGCCUUGGUGGAAGUCAAUGUUUGAUCUCAUUUUUCAGAAGGUUAGGCGCAAGUACACGGCUAGUUGCAGGCAUGUUCUUGAGGUUGCAAAGGUUGACUUGGUUGGGUAUGUUGUGUUGUCGGUGGUCUUGGGCUUAGGCACCCUUGUAUCUGGCUCGGACGACGUCCCUUGA